UCCUUUUUCUUUCUUUCUUUCUUUUUCAUGCAGAAUUAAUAGGUUGCUGUGAAAAGAGAAGAGGACAACAGAUAUUUUUUUAAACAUUACUAGAAAAGCUGAUAUCUUGUUAAUUUAAGAUUUAAUUUCACAGUAUGUAAAUAACAUAAGCUUUAGGGACCUCCCAUUCUGAUCAUUUACUUUUCAAAGAUGCAAGGUGAUAAGAAUUCUCCCAGGAUAAUUGAGGGCCUGGCCAAGGUGUAGUAAGAAAUGGGCUCAGGAGUAAGGAGUCCUUAAGAAGGAAUCAUGUAUGUAUUCUUUGGAGUUUAUGUAUCCAUAAAGUUGAGUUGUCAUCUAACAAACAUUAAUAUGAGACCAUAGGUACUAUUUUAUACAAAUGAUCAACACUCCUUAGCUACUUGUAGAGUUCAAGAAAACUCCAGGUAUAUGGAGCUAGAAAAUAAUUCUGUGUCAUGAAAUCAAUUACUUGCCACUGCAGGAAGACAUGUCUUGUAAAUUUAUUGUAGAGGUUUAGAUUCCCCCUUAAAUACAACCGUAUUUUCAAACUAUGUAUUAUUCAGUUAUCAUCUAAGUAUUCUCACUAGAAGGCAGUUCCAGACCUUUAGUCUUCCCUUACUUCAGUAUUUUAUUUUAGUUUCUGACUGCAAAUUAUUCUUAACCACUCUAGUUGUACUUUUUUUUUCCUGCCACGUGUGAUACUUUAAAUGUUCUUCUUUUUUUUUUUUUUCAUUGUUUACUGUUUUGCCCUCUGUUGCCUUUGCAGUGAAUGGUCAUAGUCUGUGUCAUUCUGAUUUUAACUGUGCUAAACUAUGAUUUUAAUCUAGAUUUUUAACUAGGCUCUGAAUCCUCCUAUCCUUCCCCUUGCAACAGAUCCAACAUGAAAUAAUACUUCAUUGAACAUGGAUGAUGAAAAGGAAAUGCACAGAUACAGUAAUAAAUGUUUUCUCUUUACAAAUAUAAAAUCUUGGUAACAUAAAUUAUACAUGUUCAGUAUGGGUUAUCUUUCUUGAAAGAAAAAAAAAAAGCCUUGAUGAUGCUAAAAUAAUUUUCUAAUACUUAUACUAGGACACAUUGAAACUCUUUUCAUCCAUAAAUAGAUAUAAUAUUUCCAAUACAACAUAACCAGGACUUCUUGAUGAAAUAUGGAAUAUAUGUAUUCAAGCGAGAGGAGGUUAAAUGAAGAAUACUGCAAGGAAAAAGAAAACUAUGAGCUCCAGCUAACUGUGGUGUGAAGAAGACUUUCCAACACACCAUAUAAGUGAAAAGAGUUCAACUGAGUCUCACUGUGGGAUGAAGUCAGAACAAAUCUGAAGUGCAUAAAUGGGCUCAAGAAAUAUGAAGUUCGCCUUCUACAUGCCACAAUAUAAUUUGCUUUAAACACCAGGAUAAUUGAUCAUUUUCAAUUUGUCAAUAUCCUGGAAAAUACACAGAUGUGAAAGAAGAAAAAAAAUGCCUCCCCCAUACUUUCAUCUACUGUUUCCACUGUGUCUACGUAUGCUGUGUUUCCACUGUCUGUAUGCUC